CAGCAGCCGCGGUAAUACCAGCAGCCCAAGUGGUGGUCGCGUUUAUUGGGCCUAAAGCGCUCGUAGCCUGGCCGGUAAGUUCCCCGUGAAAUCGGGUCGCCCAACGAUUCGGCUCGCGGGGAAUACUGUCGGUCUUGGGGCCGGGAGACGCCGAGGGUACUCCGGGGGUAGCGGUGAAAUGCUGUAAUCCUCGGGGGACUACCAGUGGCGAAGGCGCUCGGCGAUAACGGGCCUGACGGUGAGGGGCGAAAGCUGGGGGCGCGAACGGGAUUAGAUACCCCCGUAGUCCCUGUCUCUUAUU
rnacentral:rRNA from 1 species